rnacentral:rRNA from 1 species
CUAGCUACAGGCUUAACACAUGCGAAGUCGAGGGGCAGCAUUGGAGUAGCAAUACUCAGAUGGCGACCGGCGCACGGGUGAGUAACACGUAUCCAACCUGCCGCUUACUCGGGGAUAGCCUUUCGAAAGAAAGAUUAAUACCCGAUGGUAUAAAGAGUUCGCAUGUUCUCUUUAUUAAAGAAUUUCGGUAAGCGAUGGGGAUGCGUUCCAUUAGAUAGUUGGCGGGGUAACGGCCCACCAAGUCUACGAUGGAUAGGGGUUCUGAGAGGAAGGUCCCCCCACAUUGGAACUGAGACACGGUCCAAACUCCUACGGGAGGCAGCAGUGAGGAAUAUUGGUCAAUGGACGAGAGUCUGAACCAGCCAAGUAGCGGUUAGGAAGGAUGACUGCCCUAUGGGUUGUAAACUUCUUUUAUAAGGGAAUAAAGUGAGGGACGUGUCCCUUUUUGUAUGUACCUUAUGAAUAAGGAUCGGCUAACUCCGUGCCAGCAGCUGC